AGCCCAUCUGCACCCAGGCGCUCACUGAAACAGUGUGUUGCUCCACACCGCCUUGUUUUGCUUGUUGGCGCGCUCUCAGGGUUCCGACCAAUCCAAGAGCCUUGCAGAAAGCAUUAACGUGCUUUUCUCUUUGGCAGAGUUUUUCUUUGCUCUGAUCUUGGAGACAUCCCUCUGCCUAGUGGAAACAUAAGGAAUACAGAAAGAAUGCAAGGAGAUAGACCAACGUGAGAUUCUCCUUCAUGCACUCAAGAGAAAGAUGUUGCAGGAAGAGCUAGUCUUUCAGGCUGGGCUGGUGACCUGAGAAAGAAUGUCCAGCUUUUCUUCUCCACUUGGCAUAUCAAGAGCCAGGCGUGGAAGACUAAAACAGGAAAUGUUUAUAAAAACUGUUCAGCGGUUCGCCAACAAGAAGUGGUAAAGUAGCAAAAAUGGGGAUGGAGAUGCCAGGAGGAAAGAUGCCAGGGGUAAAGUGGGAAAAUGGGAACCUGAAGCCAGGAGGUCAAGCCAAGCCAACAGGUGUUCUGUUUUUCAAUGAGGAGGUGGGGCACAGGAUGGAUGGAAACUUUCCACAGUCACAGAACUAAUAAGUGGUGCUGAGGACUCAAACCCGGGGAAGCCCACUCUAGAACCCAUGCUGGUCAUCCAUAUCCCCAAGGCCCUGGUCAGAACACAGCUAAGCAGAUGGCUUGGGUCAUCAGGACGUCCAUUACAUCCAAAGGAAGACAGCCUGUGACGUUUCAAAAGCAAAAGUCCCCUACCAGCCAGUGAAGCUACCUGAUUUCUCAGUAUCUUACGCCCAGUGACACGAUCUACCCUCAAAACUUAAAAAAAAAAGGGAAACAUAAACACAUAACAGCAGCAGCAAUAAUUAAAGAUGAGAUGAGAACAAUUAAGAAAAAAGGAAAGGUCUCCUGUGACUGUUUUAUUUUUAGGGAAACAGAGAGGAAGAAGAAUGAUUUUUCUUUUGAUGACUCUAUAUCCAACUCUGAGGUUUGAUUAAAGAAAUGACCUUGAACCACAGCAAAGAAAAAUAAAAGACAAUUUCCAGUAA
rnacentral:lncRNA from 1 species